rnacentral:rRNA from 1 species
GACGUAGGGCGCGAGCGUUGUCCGGAUUUAUUGGGCGUAAAGAGCUCGUAGGCGGCUUGUCGCGUCGGCUGUGAAAUCCCGAGGCUCAACCUCGGGUCUGCAGUCGAUACGGGCGGACUGGAGUUCGGCAGGGGAGACUGGAAUUCCUGGUGUAGCGGUGAAAUGCGCAGAUAUCAGGAGGAACACCGGUGGCGAAGGCGGGUCUCUGGGCCGAUACUGACGCUGAGGAGCGAAAGCGUGGGGAGCGAACAGG